GACGAACGCUGGCGGCGUGCUUAACACAUGCAAGUCGAACGGUGAAGGGACCGGUUUUUGCUGGUUCUGGAUGAGUGGCGAACGGGUGAGUAACACGUGAGUAACCUGCCCCCUUCUUCUGGAUAACCGCAUGAAAGUGUGGCUAAUACGGGAUAUUCUGCGCCUGCUGCAUGGUGGGUGUGGGAAAGAUAUUGUUUCGGUGGGGGAUGGGCUCGCGGCCUAUCAGCUUGUUGGUGGGGUGAUGGCCUACCAAGGCGGUGACGGGUAGCCGGCCUGAGAGGGUGGACGGUCACACUGGGACUGAGACACGGCCCAGACUCCUACGGGAGGCAGCAGUGGGGAAUAUUGCACAAUGGGCGCAAGCCUGAUGCAGCGACGCCGCGUGAGGGAUGGAGGCCUUCGGGUUGUAAACCUCUUUCGCCAGUGAAGCAGGCCUGCCCCUUUUGUGGGUGGGUUGACGGUAGCUGGAGAAGAAGCGCCGGCUAACUACGUG
rnacentral:rRNA from 1 species